UAAAAGGGAUACCAUACACAUAGGGUCAAGCACAAUCUCUAAUCCUCAAUGUCAUUACAUUACAUAACUAUUCACAACUCUACAUCAUUAUACAAUUUGUCAUGUCCACAUUCUAGCUAUUACAUGCACAAGACUUCAUUACUCUUGCUGACCUCCUGGUCUACCCUGUACCUGCAAACCUGGGGGUUAAGGGAGAGGGGUGAGCUACAAGAGCCCAGUGAGCAGAAUAAUAAAACAUUU
rnacentral:lncRNA from 1 species